rnacentral:misc_RNA from 1 species
AACACUGUUAACCUGCGGUACCUGCGGAAGGAUCAUUACCGAGUUUACAAACUCCCAACCCUUUGUGAACCUUACCAUAUUGUUGCUUCGGCGGGACCGCCCCGGCGCCUUCGGGCCCGGAACCAGGCGCCCGCCGGAGGCCCCAAACUCUUAUGUCUUUAGUGGUUUUCUCCUCUGAGUGACACAUAAACAAAUAAAUAAAAACUUUUAACAAUGGAUCU